rnacentral:lncRNA from 1 species
UGUCCCUAGUAAAUAAUAUAGUAAUAAAUGUGUAACAUAAUAAUAAAUAUCAUAGAAUAAAGUUGAAAAAGACAUGUUUUCAUUUGUCAGCAUCAGAUGUAAGAAACUCAUACUAAUAAUGCUGCUCUUAAGUAUUUAUAUACACACAUGGGUACAUUUGUAAAGCAAAUACUGAAUAAAGGUAAGCAUUCAGUAAUAGGUGUGCCGUAAUUUUCCCUUAAAUUAUUUUGCCUUACGACAUUUUGUCUUAAAGCCAUUUUCCCUCAAGGAUAUUUUGCCUUAAAAUAUAAAUGUGAGGUGAAAUAACCUUGAGGCAAAAUGGAUUUAAGGCGAAAUAGUUUAAAGCAAUAUCACAUGCAACGAAACCAUCGUUUUUUACGAGAAAAAUUUCCGGACUGUGUUAUCUCUCGAAGAGGUGAUCUCAAUUGGCCAACGAAAUCUUUGGACUCAACUUCUUUUGGGGCACAUGAAAGAUAAGGUCUAUGCCAACAGCCCAGCGUCGAUACAAGACUUUAAAAAUGGAAUUCGUGAAGCUAUUGAUCCUUAGUUGACGUAACACACAUAAAAAAAUUAUGCUAACCGCUUUAUAUCUUGUUCUUACAGCAGUUUUGCGAUUUUUGAGAAUGUUAUAACUACAAAAUUUUAAUUUUGUAAGACAAUUCCUUUACACAACGUUUACCAUGUAAUACAAAGUAAGCUGUUGAUUUUCUCCUCAACUUAAUCCUAUGAAUAUUCAUUUUGCUAUAUAUAAGCAAUUUCUUGCUAUAGUUUUAAUGUAUGUCUACUAUUAAGUAAAUAAUUGUUCAAUAGUUGGGAUUAAUGACGUAAAUAGCAGUCAUAUUAUCUUGAGAUUUUUUUCAUACUUGUGUGUACUUAUUUUCAUGGAUUAUACAUUAAGGUCGUCAUAAAAUUUACUUUUAUAAGUUAAUAUAAUAUUCUUUAGAGCUGUUUCUCUCUUUAGAUUUGUUAAACUUUAGAUUUUAAUUUUUAUAAGAAUGUCAGAUCCUUGUUUUUCUUGGGAAUGUAAAAAAAGUUAUCCAGCUAUGGAAAAAUGGAGCAUUUAUAGUGUGUUCAACUAAGUUCUCAUCGAAUUUUAAGACAGAUUAAAUGAAUAAAGGUUAUCAAAGAAGUUAGACCUAAUAAGAUAUACCCUUUAACAACCAGUAACCUUGAAUCUUUUAUUCAUUAAAAUAUAUAAAAAAAGUGAGUGCCCUCUCUAUACCAUCAUAAAUUUUGUAUGUACUAGUUUUAUUUGUAAGCAAUUUCGAUGAAUACAUUUGGAAAAACCA